rnacentral:rRNA from 1 species
CCUCGGGAGGCAGCAGUAAGGAAUAUUGGUCAAUGGGCGCAAGCCUGAACCAGCCAUGCCGCGUGCAGGAAGACGGCCCUAUGGGUUGUAAACUGCUUUUGAACAAGAGAAAACCUCGGUACGUGUACCGAGCUGAUAGUAUUGUUAGAAUAAGCAUCGGCUAACUUCGUGCCAGCAGCCGCGGUAAGACGAAGGAUGCAAGCGUUAUCCGGAUUCAUUGGGUUUAAAGGGUGCGUAGGCGGACCGAUAAGUCAGUGGUGAAAUCUCUCAGCUUAAACUGAGAAACUGCCAUUGAUACUGUCAGUCUAGAGUAUAGAUGAUGUGGGCGGAAUAUGACAUGUAGUGGUGAAAUACUUAGAUAUGUCAUAGAACACCGAUUGCGAAGGCAGCUCACAAAACUAUAACUGACGCUGAGGCACGAAAGUGCGGGGAUCAAACAGGAUUAGAUACCCUGGUAGUCCGCACCGUAAACGAUGAUUACUCGUUGUUGGCAAUAUGACCGUCAGCGACCAAGCGAAAGCGAUAAGAAUCACCGNGGAGAGCGCGACGAGAGANANAGAGUUAGAGNGNGAGAGNGCGAGGNGACACGAGGGAGAGG